AUUGCGAUGGUCCCUGCGGAUGC
rnacentral:siRNA from 1 species